rnacentral:rRNA from 1 species
CUACGGGAUGCAGCAGUGGGGAAUAUUGGACAAUGGGGGAAACCCUGAUCCAGCAAUGCCGCGUGUGUGAAGAAGGCCUGCGGGUUGUAAAGCACUUUCGGUUGGGAGGACUGCUUCUAGCACUAAUAUUGUUGGAAGUUGACGUUACCUUCAGAAGAAGCACCGGCUAGCUCCGUGGCCAGCAGCCGCGGUAAUACGGAGGUUGCAAGCGUUAAUCGGAAUUACUGGGCGUAAAGCGCGCGUAGGCGGCUAGAUCAGUCGGGUGUGAAAGCCCCGGGCUUAACCUGGGAACUGCAUCCGAUACUGUCUAGCUUGAGUACAGGAGAGGAGAGUGGAAUUCCACAUGUAGCGGUGAAAUGCGUAGAUAUGUGGAGGAACACCAAUGGCGAAGGCAGCUCUCUGGCCUGAUACUGACGCUGAGGUGCGAAAGCGUGGGGAGCAAACAGGAUUAGAUACCCGCGUAGUC